GUAAUAACCUAUAAGGGAAAAGAAUCUGAAAAAGAAUAUAGGUAGAUAGAUAUGUAUAACUGAAUCACUUUGUUGUACACCAGAAACAAACUAUUUACAACUCUAGUUGUAAAUCAACGGUACUUCAAUAAAUAAAAAGCUUUGUACUUUAGCUUGUACAUUUACAUCUAUAAUCAUCUUAAAAUAAUUUUUGUUUAUAGUGUGAAAUUGGGAUUAGAGUUUAUUUUUAUAUGGAUUUCCAGGUGUUCCAGAACCAUUUCUACCUUGAAUUGCCUUUUGGCAAAAUUAAUGGAGCAUAUAUGUAGGGUCUACCACUGGAUAUUUAAAUUCCAUUCAUUGAUUGAGUCAACUGUCCUUAUGGCAAUACAACACUGUCUUGAUUACUACAUGUAUUGAUUUGCUGGGGCUGCCAUAGCAAAAUACCACAGACUGGGUGGCUUAAACAGCAGAAGUUGUUCCAAUUCUAGAGGCUUAGAAGUUCAGACUUCUAAGAUCCAGGUGUCAGCAGUGUUAGUUCUUUCUGAGGCCUCACCUUGGCUUGUAGUUGGCUGUAUUCUCCCCUUCUCCCUGUGUCCUCACGUGGUUGUGUGUGUGUGUGUGGGUGUGUCCCCUAAUCUUAUGAGGACACCAGUCAGAUUGGAUUAGUGUUGGAGUAAAAUGAGGAUUAGGGGAAUUCCCUGGCAGUCCAGUGGUCAGGACUCAGCCGUUUCACUGCCUGGGUGCCGAGUUCAAUACCCAGUCUGGGAACUAAGACCCUGAAUGCCUCGGGGCGUGGCCAGAAAAGGAAAAAAAAAAGGUUGGGAAAAAAAUAAAAUGAGGAUUAGGAUCUCAUUUUAACCUCAUCACCUUUUUAAAGAUCCCCAUCUCCAAAUAUAGUCACAUUCUGAGAUGUUGGGGGUCAGGGCUUUAACAAAUGAAUUGGGGGGUGCACAAUUCAGCUCUGCUGACACUAAACACUAUCCUUAUACUAAAAUUCAUAGAACGGCACACUGAAAGAAUUAAAUCAAUUUUACUGUUUAAUACUCUAAAAAUAAAAAAAAGAAGAUGCAACAAAUGGUUUGUGUUGGAUCUUGGUUAGGACAACCAGCUAUAGAGAACACUUGGGGAUAAUUAAAGGAAAUGAAGAUACAGGCUAUUGUCAACUAAAGAAAAUGCACAACUUAAAAGUUGAGAAUUAUUUUUUUUUGUGGGUUUUUUUUGUGGUGCACGGGC